rnacentral:rRNA from 1 species
AGGGUGCACGGUGAAUGCCUAGGGACAGGUUGCCGAAGAAGGACGCGCAAGCGGCGAAACGCCCAGGGGAGCUGCACAGAGGCUUUGAUCCUGGGGUAUCCGAAUGGGGAAACCCGGCAAGAGUAAUGUCUUGUCACGUUUAGAUGAAUACAUAGUCUAAUCGAGGGCACCCGGUGAACUGAAACAUCUUAGUAACCGGAGGAAAAGAAAUCGAAUGAGAUUCCGCAAGUAGCGGCGAGCGAACGCGGAGGAGCCCAAACCGUCUGGCAUGCCAGGCGGGGUUGUAGGACCACCACCAAAUCUUAUUUACAUUUUGGGGGUGAAUGGUGAAUGGCGAUGAGAGUCGUUAUUCACAAUUCACCUUUAAGGUUUAGGUUUGGAAAAGGUUUAUGUUGAUGUUAUAGGAACAGGAUUGGAACGUCCGGCCGUAGAGGGUGAGAGCCCCGUACUUUAAAGCAUUUACAUUGAAUUAGGUGGCACCUGAGUAGGUCGGGGCACGUGGAACCCCGAUUGAAUCUACGGAGACCACUCCGUAAGGCUAAACACGACCUGUCACCGAUAGCGUAUCCAGUACCGUGAGGGAAAGGUGAAAAGAACCCCGGGCAGGGGAGUGAAAUAGAACCUGAAACCGUGUCAUCCAUCAACAGUCGAAGCACGAUGGCGGGAGUGAUCCUGUCAGGUGCGACGGCGUGCCUUUUGCAGAAUGAGCCUGCGAGUUGUCGUUAUUGGCGAGCCUAAGCGUUUGAGACGCGGAGGCGGAGGGAAACCGAGUCCGAAUAGGGCGAUUUAGUCAGUGACGGCAGACCCGAAACUGCGUGAUCUAGCCAUGUCCAGGGCGAAGUGACGGUAAAGCGUCAUGGAGGUCCGAACCCAUUGAUGUUGAAAAAUCUCGGGAUGAGGUGUGGUUAGUCCGGUGAAAUGCCAAUCGAACGCAGAGAUAGCUGGUUCUCCCCGAAAUGCAUUUGGGUGCAGCGUUUGACGUUCUCUGAUGGGGGUAGAGCACUGAAUGGGCUAGGGGGCUUACCCGCUUACCGAACCCAACCAAACUCCGAAUACCAUCUAGAGUAGUCAGGCAGUGAGACAGCGAGUGAUAAGAUCCGUUGUCAAAAGGGAAACAACCCAGACCGACGGCUAAGGGCCCUAAACGAGAGCUAAGUGUGAAACGAUGUGGAAUCGCGUAAACAGCCAGGAGGUUGGCUUGGAAGCAGCCACCCUUUAAAAAGUGCGUAACAGCUUACUGGCCGAAUGUGGUUCUGCGCGGACAAUGUAAGGGGGCUAAAGCUCUCUCCCGAAGCCCCGGAUUUGCUUUUUAGCAAGUGGUAGGGGAGCGUUGCAUGCAGCAGUGAAGCUUGAGCGGAAGCACAGGUGGAGCGCAUGCAAGUGAGAAUGCAGGCAUCAGUAGCGAUCACAGAGGUGAGAAUCCUCUGCGCCGAAAACCCAAGGUUUCUCCGGCUAUGUUCGUCAGACGGAGGUAAGGCGGUCCCUAAGGCGAGGCCAGAAGGCGUAGCCGAUGGACAUCUAGUUGAUAAUCUAGACCCGGAGCAUGGGCACUGGGAGGACGCUUUUCGAUGUUUCAUCCCGCACUGUUGGUAGUUGCGGGCUAGCUUUAGGUUGGGCCAGCCGGGAGGUUGGCAUAAAGACCGACAGCGGGGAAGGAAGCUCUUCGGAGCAACUGAACUGAAACUGAGGAGGGCCGAGAAAAGCCCCAAGGCUAUACCAUGUAUCCGACCGUACUGUAAACCGACACAGGUGGGUGAGUCGAGGAGACUAAGGCGUUCGAGAGAACUCUCGUUAAGGAACUAGGCAAAUGAGCCCCGUAAGUUAGCAAUAAGGGGCGCCCCCGCGAGGGGGUCGCAGCGAAGCAUCCCAGGCGACUGUUUACCAAAAACACAGGUCUCUGCUAAGGUGAAAACCGAAGUAUAGGGGCUGACGCCUGCCCAAUGCCAGUAGGUCACGCGGAGAUGUCAGCGAAAGCGAAGCAUUGAAGUUAAGCCCUGGUGAAUGGCGGCCGUAACUCUAACGGUCCUAAGGUAGCGAAAUUCCUUGUCGGCUAAAUACCGACCCGCAUGAAAGGCGUAACGACUUGGGAACUGUCUCAACGAGAAGCUCGGUGAAGUUGUAGUGCCCGUGAAGAUGCGGGCUUUGCGCAGUAGGACGGAAAGACCCCGUGGAGCUUUACUACACCUUGUCGUUGUGAUUCGGGUGUAGAUGUAGAGCGUAGGUGGGAGCUUCGGCACCAAUGGAACACCACCCUUCUGCAUCUGGAUCACUAACCCCUUCCCUGAAUCGGGAACGGGAGACCGCGACAGGCGGGUAGUUUGACUGGGGCGGUCGCCUCCCAAAAGGUAACGGAGGCGCCUAAAGUUGCACUCAGGCUGGUUGGAAAUCAGCCGUCGAGCGUAUAGGUAUACAGUGCGAUUGACUGCGAGACACACAGGUCGAGCAGGGACGAAAGUCGAGCUAAGUGACCCUCUGGAUGCGCGUGGGCGCGCCAGGGUUCAUCGGAUAUAAGCUACCCCGGGGAUAACAGGCUGAUCUUGCCCGAGCGCUCACAGCGACGGCAUGGUUUGGCACCUCGAUGUCGGCUCGUCGCAUCCUGGGGCUGUACACGGUCCCAAGGGUUCCGGAGUUCACGGAUUAAAGCGGCACGCGAGCUGGGUUCAGAACGGCGUGAGCCAGUUCGGUCCCUAUCCACUGCGCGCGUAGGAAAUUUGAGGGGAGUCGCUCUUAGUACGAGAGGACCGGAGCGAACCGACCUCCGGUGUACCAGUUGUUCCGCCAGGAGCAUACGCUGGGUAGCCACGUCGGGCAGUGAUAAGCGCUGAAAGCAUCUAAGCGCCAAGCACACCCCAAGACCAGAUUUCCCUUUCGCAAGAAGUAAGGCCCCUGGAAGACCACCAGGUUGAUAGGUCGCGGCUGUGAGGGCAGUAAUGUUCUGAGGUUAGCGAUACUAAUUAGGCCGAGGGCUCGACUAU